rnacentral:rRNA from 1 species
AGUGAACGCUGGCGGUAGGCCUAACACAUGCAAGUCGAACGGCAGCACAGUAAGAGCUUGCUCUUACGGGUGGCGAGUGGCGGACGGGUGCGGAAUACAUCGGAAUCUACUUUUUCGUGGGGGAUAACGUAGGGAAACUUACGCUAAUACCGCAUACGAUCUACGGGUGAAAGCAGGGGAUCUUCGUACCUUGCGCGAUUGAAUGAGCCGAUGUCGGAUUAGCUAGUUGGCGGGGUAAAGGCCCACCAAGGCGACGAUCCGUAGCUGGUCUGAGAGGAUGAUCAGCCACACUGGAACUGAGACACGGUCCAGACUCCUACGGGAGGCAGCAGUGGGGAAUAUUGGACAAUGGGCGCAAGCCUGAUCCAGCCAUGCCGCGUGGGUGAAGAAGGCCUUCGGGUUGUAAAGCCCUUUUGUUGGGAAAGAAAAGCAGCAGGUUAAUACCCCGCUGUUCUGACGGUACCCAAAGAAUAAGCACCGGCUAACUUCGUG